UUCCCAGGGGUUUCUUUUGUUGCCU
rnacentral:misc_RNA from 1 species